UACGUAGGUGACCAGCGUUGUCCGGAUUUACUGGGCGUAAAGAGCGCGCAGGCGGUCGUUCAAGUCGAGUGUGAAAGCCCCCGGCUCAACUGGGGAGGGUCACUCGAUACUGAUCGACUGGAAGGCAGGAGAGGGAAGCGGAAUUCCCGGUGUAGUGGUGAAAUGCGUAGAUAUCUGGAGGAAUACCGGUGGCGAAGGCGGCAUCCUGGACCGACAUUGACGCUGAGGAGCGAAAGCUAGGGGAGCAAACGGG
rnacentral:rRNA from 1 species